UUACGGCUACAUCACUUUGAAACAGCAGUCCCCGUACGAUCGCCGAAGGUAAGCAACGUCGAGCCUGAUCUGUACCUAAAUGGGUGACCACUUAAGAAUACCAAGGGUUGUAA